CCCUCUCGGGUUACCGAAUUCAGACAAACUCCGAAUGCCAAUUAAUUUAACUUGGGAGUCAGAACAUGGGUGAUAAGGUCCGUGUUCGAAAGGGAAACAGCCCAGACCACCAGCUAAGGUCCCAAAAUAUAUGUUAAGUGGAAAAGGAUGUGGCGUUGCCCAGACAACUAGGAUGUUGGCUUAGAAGCAGCCAUCAUUUAAAGAGUGCGUAAUAGCUCACUAGUCGAGUGACACUGCGCCGAAAAUGUACCGGGGCUAAACAUAUUACCGAAGCUGUGGAUUGUCCGUAGGACAAUGGUAGGAGAGCGUUCUAAGGGCGUUGAAGCAUGAUCGCAAGGACAUGUGGAGCGCUUAGAAGUGAGAAUGCCGGUGUGAGUAGCGAAAGACGGGUGAGAAUCCCGUCCACCGAUUGACUAAGGUUUCCAGAGGAAGGCUCGUCCGCUCUGGGUUAGUCGGGUCCUAAGCUGAGGCCGACAGGCGUAGGCGAUGGAUAACAGGUUGAUAUUCCUGUACCACCUAGCAUCGUUUUAAUCGAUGGGGGGACGCAGUAGGAUAGGCGAAGCGUACGAUUGGAUUGUACGUCUAAGCAGUGAGAUUGAGUGUUAGGCAAAUCCGGCACUCUUAAGAUUGAGCUGUGAUGGGGAGAGGAAAUUGUUUCCUCGAGUCGUUGAUUUCACACUGCCGAGAAAAGCCUCUAGAUAGAUAAUAGGUGCCCGUACCGCAAACCGACACAGGUAGUCAAGAUGAGAAUUCUAAGGUGAGCGAGCGAACUCUCGUUAAGGAACUCGGCAAAAUGACCCCGUAACUUCGGGAGAAGGGGUGCUCUUUAGGGUGCAAGCCCAGAAGAGCCGCAGUGAAUAGGCCCAAGCGACUGUUUAUCAAAAACACAGGUCUCUGCUAAACCGUAAGGUGAUGUAUAGGGGCUGACGCCUGCCCGGUGCUGGAAGGUUAAGAGGAGUGGUUAGCUUCUGCGAAGCUACGAAUCGAAGCCCCAGUAAACGGCGGCCGUAACUAUAACGGUCCUAAGGUAGCGAAAUUCCUUGUCGGGUAAGUUCCGACCCGCACGAAAGGCGUAACGAUUUGGGCACUGUCUCAACGAGAGACUCGGUGAAAUCAUAGUACCUGUGAAGAUGCAGGUUACCCGCGACAGGACGGAAAGACCCCGUGGAGCUUUACUGUAGCCUGAUAUUGAAAUUCGGCACAGCUUGUACAGGAUAGGUAGGAGCCUUUGAAACGUGAGCGCUAGCUUACGUGGAGGCGCUGGUGGGAUACUACCCUAGCUGUGUUGGCUUUCUAACCCGCACCACUUAUCGUGGUGGGAGACAGUGUCAGGCGGGCAGUUUGACUGGGGCGGUCGCCUCCUAAAAGGUAACGGAGGCGCUCAAAGGUUCCCUCAGAAUGGUUGGAAAUCAUUCAUAGAGUGUAAAGGCAUAAGGGAGCUUGACUGCGAGACCUACAAGUCGAGCAGGGUCGAAAGACGGACUUAGUGAUCCGGUGGUUCCGCAUGGAAGGGCCAUCGCUCAACGGAUAAAAGCUACCCCGGGGAUAACAGGCUUAUCUCCCCCAAGAGUUCACAUCGACGGGGAGGUUUGGCACCUCGAUGUCGGCUCAUCGCAUCCUGGGGCUGUAGUCGGUCCCAAGGGUUGGGCUGUUCGCCCAUUAAAGCGGUACGCGAGCUGGGUUCAGAACGUCGUGAGACAGUUCGGUCCCUAUCCGUCGUGGGCGUAGGAAAUUUGAGAGGAGCUGUCCUUAGUACGAGAGGACCGGGAUGGACAUACCUCUGGUGUACCAGUUGUCGUGCCAACGGCAUAGCUGGGUAGCUAUGUAUGGACGGGAUAAGUGCUGAAAGCAUCUAAGCAUGAAGCCCCCCUCAAGAUGAGAUUUCCCAACUUCGGUUAUAAGAUCCCUCAAAGAUGAUGAGGUUAAUAGGUUCGAGGUGGAAGCGUGGUGACACGUGGAGCUGACGAAUACUAAUCGAUCGAAGACUUAAUCAAUUU
rnacentral:rRNA from 1 species